UGAGGAAUUUUGCACAAUGGGGGAAACCCUGAUGCAGCGACGCCGCGUGAUUUAGAAGGCCUUCGGGUUGUAAAAAUCUUUUCUAUGGGAAGAAAAUGACAGUACCAUAGGAAUAAGGACCGGCUAAUUACGUGCCAGCAGCCGCGGUAAUACGUAAGGUCCGAGCGUUGUCCGGAAUCAUUGGGCGUAAAGGGUACGUAGGCGGGUAAGCAAGUUAGAAGUGAAAUCCUAUAGCUCAACUAUAGUAAGCUUUUAAAACUGCUCAUCUUGAGGUAUGGAAGGGAAAGUGGAAUUCCUAGUGUAGCGGUGAAAUGCGCAGAUAUUAGGAGGAAUACCGGUGGCGAAGGCGACUUUCUGGCCAUAACCUGACGCUGAGGUACGAAAGCGUGGGUAGCAAACAGG
rnacentral:rRNA from 1 species